rnacentral:rRNA from 1 species
GCAUGCAGAUCCAUUUUCUGCCACCGAAUACAUUAGCAUGGGAUAAUGGAAUAGGACCCUGUCCUCCUAUUUUCAGUUGGUUUUGGCAGCGCGAGGACUAGGGUAAUGAUUAAUAGGGAUAGUUGGGGGCAUUAAUAUUUAAUUGUCAGAGGUGAAAUUCUUGGAUUUAUGAAAGAUUAACUUCUGCGAAAGCAUCUGCCAAGGAUGUUUUCAUUAAUCAAGAACGAAAGUUAGGGGAUCGAAGACGAUCAGAUACCGUCGUAGUCUUAACCAUAAACGAUGCCGACCAGCGAUUAGGAGACGUUGAAUACAAAACACCACCAUCGGCGCGGUCGUCCUUGGCGUCUGUCCCUUUCAACGGGGGCAGGCGCGAGGGCGGUUUAGCCCGGUGGCACCGGUGAAUGACUCCC